CAGCCGUAAACUAUGCGCGUUAGGUGUAUCGGUGACCACGAGUUACCGAGGUGCCGAAGGGAAACCGUGAAACGUGCCGCCUGGGAAGUACGGUCGCAAGGCUGAAACUUAAAGGAAUUGGCGGGGGGAGGCACCACAACAGGUGGAGCCUGCGGUUUAAUUUGGACUCAACGCCGGGAAGCUCACCGGAUAGGACAGCAGAAUGAUUGCCGGGCUGAAGACCCUGCAUGACUAGCUGAGAGGUGGUGCAUGGCGUCAGU
rnacentral:rRNA from 1 species